rnacentral:rRNA from 1 species
AUUGAAAGCUGGCGGCAGGCCUAACACAUGCAAGUCGAGCGAGCGGCGGACGGGUGAGUAAUGUAUGGGGACUGCCCGAUAGAGGGGGAUAACUACUGGAAACGGUGGAUAAUACCGCAUACUAUCGGAUACCCCCAAUGGGUUUCGCUAGUAGGUGGGGUAAAGGCUCACCUAGGCGACGAUAUCUAGCUGGUCUGAGAGGAUGAUCGUCCACACUGGGAUGGAGUUACGGCCCAGACUCCUACGGAGGGAGCAUGGGGGUAUAUUUCACAAUGGGCGAAAGCCUGAUGCGGCGACGCCGCGGGGGGGAUGAAGGCUUUCGGGUUGUAAACCUCUUUCGCUAUCGAACGGGUAGGUGGAGAAGAAGCGCCGGCUAACUACGUGCCAGCCGCCGCGGUAAUAC